GGUACAGUUCUCCCUGGCUGAUUGGCAGAGAGCACAGACAGGGUUAUGAGGCCAGCCUCGCCUCUCAAGAUUAUCCGCCGUUAAACAUCUCCGAAGAUACCUCUGACCCAUCUCCUGUUCAGGAGCACCGCCGCCACUGUGAGCCCUGAGUCACGGACAUAAGAGUAGAGGAUUGGCACCAAAGCAAGCCGCCAGCAAGCCAAUUGUCUGUCCAGAAUUUCGCCCGCAUGCCGUCACCCAGGCGGAUGGACACGCCAGCCUCGAACAGGUUCAUGGAGUCACGGUCGUCGCUAGCAGGAACAAGCGACCACGUGCGUGGCUCCUCCGACCAUCUCAGCCAUGGCCACCAGCAACGCAGGGCCAUGCCGAAGAGCUUCAGGUUGAGCACCCCUAGGCCUCCGAAUUGAGUAGGCUGACACACCCGUGAUCACGGCAAGAGGCAGUGACCAAUCGAAGCUCCUCGCAGUCUCAGUCCUCCAUCGGCGCCGACGCCUCCUGCACAGCCGCCGCGAUGGCCGACAUGCACGGUCAUCGAGGCCACACCUCCUCGUUGUCCGGCGUGAGCGGCUUAUCUGGCGGAGGGAACACAAGGCACACACGCACAACACAAGCUCCUUGCUUCUUCUUGCCUAGGUCCCCUUCAUCCAGCACGCCGCCAGCAACCACGGUCCACGAGUUAAUGCUACUACUGUCUCUUGAAGUUGAAUCCUCCUCUCUCUUGAACAUAUUCCUCUAAUAUUUCCAUUUAGUUACAUCCCGAAAUUCUAAUUUGCUCUCUGUUUUUGGAUUUCAGGUUGGGGUGCUGCUUGGUCUCAUCAACCUCGGCUCCAGGAUCAGGUCCGGCUGCCCUAUCACAGAGCUGUUCCGUCUUCGACUACAGGAAGUUGUGGUGUGAUCUACAUGGAAAAAAGGUGGGAAAGCACCAGAGGUGAACGCCUCAUAUCUGAUGCUUAUGUUUUGUGAUUCUAGAUUGCAAAUUUCUUGUAAUUAGUUGAUAAAACAAUUAUGCAGUUCAAUUUCUAAAUUUAUUACAAGCAGGUUAACGAAUUUCAAAUGUAUGUCCGUCAAGGCUGGUGCUAGAGAUUUCCACUUAUUAGUGACAUGUAUUGAUAGAUGUUAGUGGUGUAUAGUCCCCUGUAGUCCCCUAUACUGUAUAUUCCCAUAGUGUGAGGGGUUUCCCUGCAUAUUGUACCCUUUACAUGUACUGGCCUUUGGCCCACUGCGAAUACUAGUUGCUAUUCCAACA